GGCAGGCCGCGCAGGGAACCGGUCAGGGAACAUCGUUCAAUGCGCGGGUGCAGUUGACCGGCGUCGAUGGCGCGGCGCUUCGCUACCGCGGCCUUGCGGUGCCGGACGGGAAGGUGGCGCUGCAAAUGACACUGGCCGGGCAGGGGCGCAGCGCCGCCGGAUUGACCGGUGCGCUCUCGGGCGCUGGCACGCUGACGCUGACCGAUGCGCGAAUCCCCGGACUCGAUCCACGCGCGUUCGAGGUGGCCGUUCGCG
rnacentral:misc_RNA from 1 species